UACAGAGGGUGCGAGCGUUGUCCGGAAUCACUGGGCGUAAAGGGCGCGUAGGUGGCCUGAUAAGUCGGGGGUGAAACGCUGCGGCUCAACCGCAGCACUGCCUUCGAGACUGUCAGGCUUGAGCACGGUAGAGGCAGGUGGAAUUCCCGGUGUAGCGGUGGAAUGCGUAGAGAUCGGGAAGAACAUCGGUGGCGAAGGCGACCUGCUGGGCCGUUGCUGACACUGAGGCGCGACAGCGUGGGGAGCAAACAGG
rnacentral:rRNA from 1 species